rnacentral:lncRNA from 1 species
AUUUUUUUCAAAUCUACUCAAACUUUUAUCAAAAUCUAUGGAGCAAUCCCUAUUUUUUUAUUUUUACAUGGAUUUUCAACCAAUCUACAUUUAAGAAAGCCAAAAUAAAUGAGAUAUUUAUCUUCCUAGAGUAAACACCAGCAAAUUUCUCAUAGAAUAAAAUCAGCUACAUUCUUUCGAGUAGGUCUCGCUUUGUCCGGCCCUUAGGAAGCCCUUAGGCCUCAAUCCAUUCGGCCAUCCAUUCUACAUCACUUCAUGUGUACUUGCUUGCACACUUGGACAAACACGUUAGAUGCACAAACCAUAGAUCCAGGGGAAAAAGGGGAUGCCAUGAGCAUAUGCACUAUGAUGUCCAAGUUAAAUAAAUGGACGAUAGUGUGGGUACUGGAGAAACAUUGAAAAACAAAAGAAGGAAAAUACGAAAGUAAACUUUAUAUUUGAAAGCGAGAUUAACAUAUUACAAUUACCAUCAAUUAUCUCAAUGUAAGUAUGUACAGACAAAAAAGAUGUAAACGAUGCUUCAUCCCAACGACUCCCAUGUCAAGCUCAAGAAGUCACAUAAUAGUAGUCAUCAUAGGUUUUGACCUCCGAUACCGUGUCUGACUGAUUAGCAAGGAUUUGACUAUAAAUCACCUUUGUAGAGAUAUCACAUUAGCCAAAUUGCGUGUUGUUCAAGGUGUCAAAAAUGCAACUUGUACAAAAGCAUUAGGAGAUUAGACCUCAAUCACCUUGGAUAAAAAAGGACUACUUGGCCAACGUUUGGUCCUCCCAAUCGCCUUGGAAUGGCUAUGUGACAUGUAUGCUACGAAUUACAUUGCCUCAGAGAAGAACACAGUGAGGCGUUGGGUUGUCUCCAACACUUCGUUCAAGAGACUAGGUGAGGC